rnacentral:lncRNA from 1 species
AUGGAAACAGUUGAAUCACAGCAGGAUCGAAGUGUAACACAUUCUGUGGCAGAGCAUAGCUCUGCUCAUAUGCAGACUGGCCAAAUUUCUGUCCCUACUCUAGCUCAGCUGCCACAGGUGACAUGCCAACUUACCAGAUCCGAGCUCCUACUACUGCUUUGCCACAAGGUGUGGUGAUGGCUGCCUCACCAGGGAGUCUGCACAGUCCCCAGCAACUAGCAGAAGAAGCAACUCGAAAGCGGGAGCUGAGGCUGAUGAAAAACAGGGAAGCUGCCCGGGAGUGUCGCAGGAAGAAGAAAGA